rnacentral:rRNA from 1 species
UACGUAGGUGGCAAGCGUUGUCCGGAUUUAUUGGGCGUAAAGGGAACGCAGGCGGUCUUUUAAGUCUGAUGUGAAAGCCUUCGGCUUAACCGGAGUAGUGCAUUGGAAACUGGAAGACUUGAGUGCAGAAGAGGAGAGUGGAACUCCAUGUGUAGCGGUGAAAUGCGUAGAUAUAUGGAAGAACACUAGUGGCGAAAGCGGCUCUCUGGUCUGUAACUGACGCUGAGGUUCGAAAGCGUGGGUAGCAAACAGG